CCCCCAGGACCGCACGCAGCAUGUGGCCUUAUUUGCACAUCCGGUGUGGUUGGAGUCCUCCUGAGAAGGGGCGGCCAGGACACAGAUGCAUACAGAGAAGAUGAUGUGAAGACAGAGAAGACGAGCAUCCAGGCCAGGAGACAGGCCUGGGACCCAUGCUUCUCCCACGGCCUUCGGAUGGAGCCCGCCUUGCUGACACCUCAGUUUUGCACUCCAUCUUGCCACAGGCUUGGACUGGCCCACGCUCCUGGGCAUCCUGUGUGGUUACCCAUGCACUCCACCCCCACCCUCCGACCCUGUCCAUGGCUCUUCCCAUGCUCUGGAGCCCCUCCCCAGCUAGGCCCUACUCCUUUCCAGGAUGAUGCUCUCAGGACCACGCUUUGCCCAUCCCUGUGAGCCCUUACGUCCCUUGUGGGGUUUUGCUCUUUCAUUCAUGUGACAAGCAGAAGUGACACUGCAGCUGGGUUCUUGCUCCUUCCAUUUCUGUGUCUUAUGGCUGAGAAAUCCCCAGGGUGGGACAACCCAGUAAUUCCGAAUCAAAGCUCUGCUGGCAAGCAUUACUCAUGUUGUCUCUGACCGCACACUUUGGGACCCACUGGGCCCACUCUUGGUCUGUUCCCAUCCAGGCUCCUCGUGGCACAGUUGUCCUGUGCAUGAAGGCUGAAGCCAAGGCUGAGGCAGGAUGGGGCAAACUCAGAGGGCUGUGGGGUGGGGCCUGGUAAGCCUGCUAGUGGGGCUUGAGAGGCCAUAGCAGUGGGCAUCAGUCAUCAGAUGGCACAGGUUGCCGGAAGGACAGGGUCAGGGAAGGAAAGCAUAGUGUAGGUCAAGAGCAAGGAAAGCAAAGUCUGGAGGUGCUGAAAUGUUCACAGAGUCCCAGAGGGGUAGGCGGUGAGCUGUGGUAGAAGAGGGGGGCAGGCUGAAGGCUCAGGAGGGAGAGGCCUGAUGCCAGCCUGGCGGUGGCCCUGCUUCCUCAGCUUUCCUGGGAUUCACACGUGAUGUUCGUACACUGGCUUCCUGUACUUUUGGGGAGGCAUCUUGGGAUGAAGCAAGAGUGGGCAGGGAGAAGUGGAUGGCUGCCAUGCAGGCCAGCUGCACGGGGAGCGCUGGGCCAGAGUGGCCUUCAGAGAUAUCCCUGGCUAGGUGAGGGGGAGAGAUGGCCUUGCCUCCACCAGCCGCAGGAGGGCGGGACCUCAGACCAGGCUGCUGUCUGCAGCUGUGUCCACCUUGCAGUGGCUGACAGCACCCAGCAGCCUAGAGACCAUUUGGGGUGUCCUGCCUCUGCCCCUGAUCCUGCCAUCCCCUUAUCUGCUGUGCCCUCCACUUUCCAGCCCCCAGUACACAGGGGUCCCCAGGGAUACUUGUCUGGCAUCUUACUCUUCCCCUUGGGCCCUGCCUCUCUCCAGAGGUGCCCCAGGCAGAGGCCUCUGGUGCCUGCUUAGCUGUGUGGGACCAGUAAUCUGAUGGCAGUGCUUGGUGCUGUAACAGCUUCUGUGGGCUCUGCUGGUCCUGCCCUGCUUACCCAGGAGCACAGUCCCUUCUGCUGGGCACCACCAUGAGUAAGACAUACUCUUUGCUCUGGUCAUUGCUCAGCGUGUCCUCCCAGCCCUUGGUGCCACCGCCGUCGAGACCCGUGUCUUCUGCCUAUCAUACCUGUGGUGACUGCAUUCUUUCCCUUGCCCCUUCCUCAGGGUGUCCACUGCCCUAGGUCGCUGGGGUCAGGGCUGCUUCUCUCCCUCCACCUGAGAUAAGUGACCAGUGGAGGGUGCUUGAACCAGGAACCUAUCCAUGGCCGACCAGAGACUUAGGCCCCAGGGAAAGCUACCAAGGGCUUGGGCUGGGCCAGUCAGGUUCCGGAGUGGACACUGAACUGAAGAAGCCAACAGAGCCUGUGCUGAGAAAGGGACCGAGAGUGGGCUGUUGUGGUUCUGGUAGGUGGCUUGGCAGGAGAGGAGAUGCACAGAGAGGGAGAGACACCCAGGGGCCGGGGAGUGCCCACCUCAGGGAGCCCCCCUCCCAGGGCCUGUAUGUGCUUUCCAGAAGGGCAUUCCAGACCUUUCCCCAAGGCAGCCUUGGUUUUCUCUCAAAUUGGUAACCAGCUUUUUGUCAGGUACAGCUCUUGCACAGUCCCUGCAUGGCUGGCCUGGGCCAGCCCUCUGUGGAGGGAGUGAGGAGAGUAGGGGAGAGGGGGGCCGAGGGAGAGCUCAGGCUGGGGAGACACCGCCUCUGAACACCCAGCCCUCUUCAGGCUGGAGCUGGGAGCAGGCCCGGAGCAGUUGGGAGGUCCUGCAGAGGGGGGAUUCCUGAGCCUCCUCUUGGGACAGGGCCAGCGGGAUGCUGGGUGACAGGCUUUAACAAAGGCAGGGCUUCGAGCAAGGAGGCCAGGUGGGAAUGUGCCUUGGGCACGCUUGGACAAGCAGACCACGAUUCUCACCCAGAAAGAGGCCCUGCAGCCUUUUCUGUGUGGCCUGAAAUUGGCAACUACCUCACGUCCACAUUGGGGGAAUGGCCAUCUAAAUUAUGGAGCGAUUAGAAUGAAUGCCAUGCAGCCAUUACAUGGUUUACUCAACACAUGAAUUAACACUAUAAAGUGCUUGCAAUGUGACCCCGAGUAUGAAAACCAGGCUACAAAAUCAUACCCCAUCCUGGCAAUUUUGCUUUGUGAACAAACAGAAGCUAAGCACAGAGAAAAGCCUGGAAGGAAAUAUAUGAAUAUGUCAACGGAGGAAUAUCAAAGCCGAGGCCUGCUGGGUGAGCCUGUGGCACGCUGGACCCUUGGCAUUCAGGAGGGCAUGUGGACAGACACAAGCUUUGGAACCAGGCAGACCAGUGAUCAAGUCAUACACACUAGUGAAUGACCUUUAGAAAGCCA